rnacentral:rRNA from 1 species
AAUAGAUACCCCGGUAGUCCACGCCCUAAACGAUGUACACUAGAUCGUGGAGGCUCUGACGCCCUCAUGGUCGAAGCAAAAGUAUUUAGUGUACCGCCUGGGGAGUACGGUCGCAAGAUUAAAACUCAAAGAAAUUGACGGGGGCUCACACAAGCGGUGGAGCAUGUGGCUUAAUUCGAAGCAACGCGAAGAACCUUAUCCAAGGCUUGACAUGCACGGAUUAGUUUGCUGAGAGGUGAAUGACACUCGCAAGAGUGGAACGUGCACAGGUGCUGCAUGGCUGUCGUCAGCUCGUGCUGUGAAGUGUCGCGUUAAGUCGCUUAACGAGCGAAACCCCUAUCCUUAGUUGCCAACAGGUUAUGCUGGGGACUCUAAGGAGACUGCCGGUGUCAAACCGGAGGAAGGUGGGAUGACGUCAAGUCCUCAUGGCCUUUAUGCCUUGGGCUGCACACGUGCUACAAUGCGGCCGACAAUGCGAAGCAAGACCGUAAGGUGGGGCAAAUCGCAAAAAAGGUCGCCCG